rnacentral:rRNA from 2 species
AGUGGGCGCUGUCGGAUUUAUUGGGCGUAAGCGAGCGCAGGCGGUUUUUUAAGUCUGAUGUGAAAGCCUUCGGCUCAACCGAAGAAGUGCAUCGGAAACUGGGAAACUUGAGUGCAGAAGAGGACAGUGGAACUCCAUGUGUAGCGGUGAAAUGCGUAGAUAUAUGGAAGAACACCAGUGGCGAAGGCGGCUGUCUGGUCUGUAACUGACGCUGAGGCUCGAAAGUAUGGGUAGCAAACAGGAUUAGAUACCCUGGUAGUCCAUACCGUAAACGAUGAAUGCUAAGUGUUGGAGGGUUUCCGCCCUUCAGUGCUGCAGCUAACGCAUUAAGCAUUCCGCCUGGGGAGUACGGCCGCAAGGCUGAAACUCAAAGGAAUUGACGGGGGCCCGCACAAGCGGUGGAGCAUGUGGUUUAAUUCGAAGCUACGCGAAGAACCUUACCAGGUCUUGACAUACUAUGCAAAUCUAAGAGAUUAGACGUUCCCUUCGGGGACAUGGAUACAGGUGGUGCAUGGUUGUCGUCAGCUCGUGUCGUGAGAUGUUGGGUUAAGUCCCGCAACGAGCGCAACCCUUAUUAUCAGUUGCCAGCAUUAAGUUGGGCACUCUGGUGAGACUGCCGGUGACAAACCGGAGGAAGGUGGGGAUGACGUCAAAUCAUCAUGCCCCUUAUGACCUGGGCUACACACGUGCUACAAUGGAUGGUACAACGAGUUGCGAACUCGCGAGAGUAAGCUAAUCUCUUAAAGCCAUUCUCAGUUCGGAUUGUAGGCUGCAACUCGCCUACAUGAAGUCGGAAUCGCUAGUAAUCGCGGAUCAGCAUGCCGCGGUGAAUACGUUCCCGGGCCUUGUACACACCCSSCCCSGUCA